rnacentral:tRNA from 4 species
UCCUCGGUAGCUCAGCGGUAGAGCGGUCGACUGUUAAUCGAUUGGUCACUGGUUCGAAUCCAGUCCGGGGAGCCA